CCCAGUCGUAGUUCGUGAUGGGCGAGGACACAGAGAAAGACGGGCCUGUCCUUCACGUCGCCGUCAUCGGCUUCCACCAUAAAAAGGGAUGUCAGGUUGAAUUUUCUUAUCCACCUCUCGUCCCUGGAGGAGAUGUUACGUGUACAGAAUGUCCACCCGGUUGGAAAUACCUGCCGACCCUGGCACUCCCGGAUGGGUCGCACAACUACGAAAAGGACACCGUUUUCUUCCAUCUCCCAUCUCUGGACUGCCCGAACAAAACGGUCUUCGGCGUUUCUUGUUUUAGGCAAAUCCCAGUUGAAAAAAUUAAAAACCGUACUUCUGACAUAACCAGAGGGACAGUCCAAAAGGCAGUUUGUGUUCUGAGUAAAAUACCACUUUAUGGGCACAUUCAAGUUAAGAUGGAGCUUAUUACCCAUGCAUAUUUUGAAGAAGGGGAUUUUACUAAAGUUUCUUUACUUGAAGAUACUUAUAGAAAUUUAAAUGACUGUUUAAACCAAAUAUUUGACCUUCAUAGUGCUCCUCAGCUUUUUGUUGGGUUAUCUGCUCGGGAUCUCAUUUUAACUUUAAGGCAUAAAGUAUUACUUCUUUAUAAACUGGUGCUGCUUGAGAAGAAGGUGCUUUUCUUUCAGUCGCCUGUACAGCCACUUUGUACAACCAUUUUAACACUACUCUCUCUUCAUCCAAAUUUGGUAGAAGAUGGAUUGUUUCAGUCUGCAUGUUUCAAACCAUCAAGACCGAUGUCUCCAGUUCCUCGGUUUGAAGAGAAAACACAGAAAAGUGCAGACUUCUCGGAAGAAGCAGAUGUCAAAGAAGAGACUGAACUCAGACAUGACAAAGAAAUGAGUGAUAAUCAGGAGAUUAAUGAAAUGCUAAAGGCAGAUCCUAAUCGUAAUGGAAUGAAAAUGAGACAAGAGAUAAAUGGGAAUCAGCUUGCUGCUAGGAUUGAUUCCAAUGCGGAAAUAAUCAAAGAUGAUCAGAAACAUCUAUCAAACCCAACAGUUAUUGAUAGAGUGGAGAUUAAUGGACAUUUGGAGUGUGAAGAAGGAGAUGGUGAUAAAAAAAGCGAUAGCCCAAAAAGACUGAAUGAAGGUGAAAACAUAAUUGGAUCCAUAUCUAGAGAUCCUAGUAGUAUGGAUCUACUCGGAAAUGCUGGAAUUCAGAAUUCUCUUCUCAUGAUAGCACAGAUUGAUGCAAACUCUUGUGGUUUACCACUUCAAAUUUUCAACAAUGGUUACCUUUGUUUGCCGUACCUUUCACUGCCGUACAUGGAUGUUCUGACAGAUCCAAACAUUAGAGGUUAUUUACUCGGUGCUACAAAUGUUCUUUUUAAACAGAAAAAAAAUCUUGCUGAUGUAGUAAUAGAACUAGAAAACGGUAUAAUAGAAUGCCCAGAACAAGAUUUGAAAAGAGCUCUCACGCUUUCCACCGAGGAUCUUAGGUUUAGUGAAUUUCUUGUUCGCCAUGUCAGUGCAACAUGUACAAAGUAUGAUGUCUACGCAGAUGGUGUCGGAUGGGAGGGCAGCGAAGACUGGAUCAGAGCACAAUUCCUAGCUUAUACACUUUGCUUGCUUAGGACCAGUCUUCUACAAGAAGGGUGUAAGGAAAUAGACCAGUUUAACAAAAGUUAUGUAACGGCACUGCAAGAGUCGCAGAGCUACAAAGAAUGGAAAUCUGACCCAAGAUCCCAGAACAUUCUUGAAAUCAACCCCGGUCAUCCUUUUGCCGGACAAGUGUCUGUCGUUAAAGAUAUGAAACUGAAAAUUGAACAGUAUGUUUUCAAUCAGUUUUGAAGUGCAUUACAAUGCAAACAACAGAAAGCGGAAGAAAAUUAAACCAAGCUAUGGUCACGACUGGUAGAGCUGUAGCAACAACUGGCAAAGCAGUUGGUGGUGCAUUUAUCCAGGCACGUGGUGCUCUAAGCAGCUGGUGGAGUAAUUUGACUGCCCAACAGGUCUUAGAGACGAACAACAUAGAAAAGGCUAUUGAAGCCGACCAAGUCAACGAUGGGAUGA
rnacentral:misc_RNA from 1 species